UCCAUUCGGUCCUCCUUUUGUUAACGCUCUGGCAUCAUGUCUACGCCAGCUCCCGCGCAAUCCGGCGCCAUCGCGCUUUGGGCGAGCAUGGCCAUGGGGAGUAGAGAGGUGGAAACCGAGCUGACGCCUGCCUGACCCUGGCGAUGGUGGCGCGCGCCGGGAAGGACUGAUUGGAGAAUGGCGCCAAAUGGGUCACGGAUGGCGAGGGGGCACAGGAGCUCUCGAUGUGACCUGGCGCUGUGGAUGUGAUGCACAGCAGCUUGAGUGGGACUGCUCCGCUGUCCUCAUGAGAGAACGCUUUUUCUGAAGAUGGGAGGUGGCUAAUGAAAGAAGGAAUUGUGUUCUCGGUGAUGCCUGGAAGAGAUGCGUGACGUUGGAAGAUGAUUACGAAAUACAGGAAAGGUAGAGUCAUUUGUUUUGUAUAUAUUAAAUAUUCUGAGUGAUACAGUCUGGGAAAGAUUAUGAAGUAAAGACUGGAAUCCUAAAGGCUUUGGUGAAAUCUUAAUUACCUAUUUUCGGGGUGGCAGAGAACUUUUAUUUAGACAAUCAUUGUGUCCUUGUUGGUGUGGAGGUCAGAGGACGACUUGGAAGUUUCUCCAACCCAGGCCUCCUGUCUUAACGACAGGCCUUUGUGUGUGUGGGUGUUUUGUCUGCACCGUGUGCAUACAUGGUGCCUGAGAAGGCUGUAAGGGGGCAUCAGAUCCCCUGCCACUGCAGUUGGAGAGUGAAGCUGCCAUGUGUGUGCUAUGAAUCGGACCCCAGUCCUCUUAACUCUUAAGCAGUCUGUCUUAGUCAGGGUUUCUAUUCCUGGACAAACAUCAUGACCAAGAAGCAAGUUGGGAAGGAAAGGGUUUAUUCGGCUUACACUUUUCCACAUUGCUGUUCAUCACCAAAGGAAGUCAGGACUGGAACUCAAGCAGGUCAGAAAGCAGGAGCUGAUGCAGAGACCAUGNNNNNNNNNNNNNNNNNNNNNNNNNNNNNNNNNNNNNNNNNNNNNNNNNNNNNUACAUAUUACCAAGUCCAGCCACAGCACAAGGUACAACCUUGGCUAUCUCUGGAACACAGCCUCUGUGCUCUCAGAAAACCCUUCCCAGAAGAUUUCACCUCAGUGAUGCUGGUCUCUUCUUAAUCACCGCUAAUUUCUUAGCUCCAGUUAACCAGCAUCAAUAGUUCCAGUAAUGCAAAGGUUUAACUUUAGUAGUUCUUGUAUCUUGUUAAUCACAGCUGAUUCUUCAGAACCACAGAACCUUCACAAUCCAAAAUAGCAGUGGCCCUGAAAAAAGUCUUUAAUUUUACCUCUGAAGUUUCACAAGCCAGGCCUCCAUUUUUCUGCAAUGUUCUCAACAUUAUCUNNNNNNNNNNNNNNNNNCAUCUCACAGAGCUCUUAACAGCGAAUGGAUCUUCUGGCCCAAAGUUCCAAAGUCCUUCCACAGUCCUCCCCAAAACAUGGUCAGGUUGUCAUAGGAAUACCCCACUUCCGGUACCAAUUUCUGUCUUAGGGUUUCUAUUCCUGCACAAACAUGACCAAGAAGUAAGUUGGGAAGGGAAGGGUUUAUUCAGCUUACACUUCCGCAUUGCUGUUCAUCACCAAGGAAGUCAGGACUGGAACUCAAGCAGGUCAGAAAGCAGGAGCUGAUGCAGAAAGCUAUAGAGGGAUGUUCCUUACUGGCUGGCUUCCCCUGGCUUGCUCAGCCUGCUCUCUGACUAAGACUACCAGCCAAGACUACCAGUCCAGAGAUGGUUCCACCCACAAGGGGUCCUUCCCCCUUGAUCACUGAUUGAGAAAAUGCCUUACAGCUGGAUCUCAUGGGGGCAUUUCCUCAACUGAAGCUCCUUUCUCUGUGAUAACUCCAGCUGUGUCAAGUUGACACAAAGCUAGCCAGUACACAGUCUCUACAGCAAAUCCCUCUGAGUUUCAGAGAUGCCAGGCAUUUUGCUGUAGUUUGAGCUUUUAUUUUCCACAGUUGUUUCUCACAGUGGCCCUGUGGGCAGAACAGUCAACUCUACUGUAGGGUUAGCGCUGUGCCUCUUGAGCAUCUGACUAUUAUCAGAUUCUUUGCUAGUUCUCUCAGCACCGUUAAUGAUGUGCCCUACUGUAACUCAUUCACAAGGUUCCUGUUUUAAAGAUUCCAUCCUUUGCCUCAUAGCUAGUAUCUUGGAGGUUGACUAUCAGCUGGCUUCUUUAAAGUGUCCAUUUCACAUUUAUGAUUUGGAUUCAGUAUUUGAAUCCAGGACUGAGUAUAAGAGCAUGCAUGUCCAAGUAAGUGGUUCCUUCUUAAAAACUGUUUCUGUGUAUGGGUGUUAAUGCCGAUGUGUGUCUGCACCCAAUUCAUGCCCAGAAGAGGGACUUAGGUCCUCUGGAACUGAGUCAGCAGGGCUGUGAGCCAUGUGGCUGCUCGGGGCAGCUAGUUCUCAGAACUAUUGAGCUAGCUCUCCAGCCUAGUGGGGUGUUCUCCCAACCCCAACUUUGGCUUUUCAAGGCAGUCUGCAUAUUCCUGGCUGUCCUGGACCUCACUAUGUAGACCAGGCAGGCCUCCAAUUCACACAUCUUUCUUGAGGUACUCGAUUUUUUUCUUGCCUAUGUUUGCAUAUAGUUUAUGUAUGUGGAAAGUUCCUGGGGCAUUUAAAGUGUUUGUAGUCAGGAUGUGUUGGUUGUUUUCCUGGAACAUUUCUACUUAAUUAUGGAGGUAAUUGAAACAGCUGGUGGAACUAUAAUAAAAUUAGGUAUCCCCAUGCCUAGUACUUUUUGGAGUGGGACUGUGGUCAAAUACUUAACAUUACUGAAGUAUGUUUACAUCUCCUCCCAAAGCUUGGUUGCAGAGUGUGAUAAGCAUAGAUUUACACAGUACUUGUCCCCUUGGUGGUGCUUCUUUGCCCCUUUGUGGGCAUUGGCUUCUCUUCAUGAGCAGGAUUGACUAUCAGGAAGUCAGAAUGCUGAUACUCUGCGGGACGUGGGUGUGUGGGAAAGAGGGGAGUGGGAGAGAAUCUGUCCUGCCAGAGUUCCGGUGCUCUGGGCAGUCAGACGUGGGAGGAUUGCUGGUCACUCUCCAUGUGGCUCUGGGUUGGCAUCUGGCUUUGUGAAGCCGCUGACCCCACACGGCAGGGAGUGGACAAGAACCUGGUACCAGGUUCUCAGUCUCCGAGAGAGAGAGACAGAGACAGACACUGACCAUGGCC
ensembl:lincRNA 5430416N02Rik RIKEN cDNA 5430416N02 gene